GCAAGCUCAGUGAACUGUUCAAAGUAAAAAAAAUUAAAACAUUUCAGAAUUUUUAAGAUAUUAACAAUUAAAUAAGUAUGUGAUUACGUCAUGACAUCAUGAAGGAGGCUACUGAUUCUGGCCCUGUGACACUUGGUGGUGACGUGUGAGCUGAUUCACCUGGACACUCAGCAAAAUAUGGACUCUACACCAUGAGGCAGGCACACGUUAAUACUCUAUAAGAGCACAUAAGCAUGAGGAUGUCCUCACACACCUGUAACCUAUCAGCUCAUCUGGCAGAAUAGAGAGAGAAGAGACAACACCACAUCUCCUGUUCCUGGAAAGCCUUCAGCCAUCCUUCGAUGACUGAGAACCUCCAUCAGCUCUGUCUCCUGUCUGCCCACAAUUAUUAUAAUAAAUAUUGUGUUUGACAAGUUU